rnacentral:rRNA from 1 species
GAGCAGCCCAGAGCCUGAAUCAGUGUGUGUGUUAGUGGAAGCGUCUGGAAAGGCGUGCGAUACAGGGUGACAGCCCCGUACACAAAAAUGCACAUAUUGUGAGCUCGAUGAGUAGGGCGGGACACGUGGUAUCCUGUCUGAAUAUGGGGGGACCAUCCUCCAAGGCUAAAUACUCCUGACUGACCGAUAGUGAACCAGUACCGUGAGGGAAAGGCGAAAAGAACCCCGGCGAGGGGAGUGAAAAAGAACCUGAAACCGUGUACGUACAAGCAGUGGGAGCACGCUUAGGCGUGUGACUGCGUACCUUUUGUAUAAUGGGUCAGCGACUUAUAUUCUGUAGCAAGGUUAACCGAAUAGGGGAGCCGAAGGGAAACCGAGUCUUAACUGGGCGUUAAGUUGCAGGGUAUAGACCCGAAACCCGGUGAUCUAGCCAUGGGCAGGUUGAAGGUUGGGUAACACUAACUGGAGGACCGAACCGACUAAUGUUGAAAAAUUAGCGGAUGACUUGUGGCUGGGGGUGAAAGGCCAAUCAAACCGGGAGAUAGCUGGUUCUCCCCGAAAGCUAUUUAGGUAGCGCCUCGUGAAUUCAUCUCCGGGGGUAGAGCACUGUUUCGGCAAGGGGGUCAUCCCGACUUACCAACCCGAUGCAAACUGCGAAUACCGGAGAAUGUUAUCACGGGAGACACACGGCGGGUGCUAACGUCCGUCGUGAAGAGGGAAACAACCCAGACCGCCAGCUAAGGUCCCAAAGUCAUGGUUAAGUGGGAAACGAUGUGGGAAGGCCCAGACAGCCAGGAUGUUGGCUUAGAAGCAGCCAUCAUUUAAAGAAAGCGUAAUAGCUCACUGGUCGAGUCGGCCUGCGCGGAAGAUGUAACGGGGCUAAACCAUGCACCGAAGCUGCGGCAGCGACGCUGAUGCGUUGUUGGGUAGGGGAGCGUUCUGUAAGCCUGCGAAGGUGUGCUGUGAGGCAUGCUGGAGGUAUCAGAAGUGCGAAUGCUGACAUAAGUAACGAUAAAGCGGGUGAAAAGCCCGCUCGCCGGAAGACCAAGGGUUCCUGUCCAACGUUAAUCGGGGCAGGGUGAGUCGACCCCUAAGGCGAGGCCGAAAGGCGUAGUCGAUGGGAAACAGGUUAAUAUUCCUGUACUUGGUGUUACUGCGAAGGGGGGACGGAGAAGGCUAUGUUGGCCGGGCGACGGUUGUCCCGGUUUAAGCGUGUAGGCUGGUUUUCCAGGCAAAUCCGGAAAAUCAAGGCUGAGGCGUGAUGACGAGGCACUACGGUGCUGAAGCAACAAAUGCCCUGCUUCCAGGAAAAGCCUCUAAGCAUCAGGUAACAUCAAAUCGUACCCCAAACCGACACAGGUGGUCAGGUAGAGAAUACCAAGGCGCUUGAGAGAACUCGGGUGAAGGAACUAGGCAAAAUGGUGCCGUAACUUCGGGAGAAGGCACGCUGAUAUGUAGGUGAAGUCCCUCGCGG